UUGGCUUAGAAGCAGCCACUCAUUUAAAGAGUGCGUAAUAGCUCACUGGUCGAGUGAUUCUGCGCCGAAAAUUUCCGGGGCUAAAACUUACUACCGAAGCUACGGCAUCAUUAUGAUGGGUAGGGGAGCUUUCUAUGUGGCUUGAAGCAUGACCGUAAGGACAUGUGGACUGCAUAGAAGUGAGAAUGUUGGCAUGAGUAGCGAGAUGUGGGUGAGAAUCCCACAGGCCGUAAACCCAAGGUUUCCAGGGGAAGGUUCGUCCGCCCUGGGUUAGUCAGGACCUAAGCCGAGGCCGAAAGGCGUAGGUGAUGGACAACAGGUUGAUAUUCCUGUACCACCAAUAACCGUUUGAGAAAUGGGAUGACACAGUAGGAUAAGCUAACCGCACUGUUGGUUAUGUGCGGGCAAGUAUUGAGGCAGUUCCGAUAGGCAAAUCCGUCGGAAUAAUGCUGGGGUACGAUGCGGAGCGAAAUUUAGUAGCGAAGUAGCUGAUUUCACACUGUCGAGAAAAGUCUCUAUCGAGGUUAAAGGUGCCUGUACCGCAAACCGACACAGGUGGGUGAGGAGAGUAUCCUAAGGCCAGCGAGAGAACUGUUGUUAAGGAACUCGGCAAAAUGACCCCGUAACUUAGGGAGAAGGGGUGCCUUCGAAAGAAGGCCGCAGAGAAUAGGCCCAAGCGACUGUUUACCAAAAACAUAGGUUUCUGCUAAGUCGCAAGACGAUGUAUAGGAGCUGACGCCUGCCCGGUGCUGGAAGGUUAAGGGGAUCUGUUAGAGCAAUCGAAGCAGUGAACUUAAGCCCCAGUAAACGGCGGCCGUAACUAUAACGGUCCUAAGGUAGCGAAAUUCCUUGUCGGGUAAGUUCCGACCCGCACGAAAGGCGUAACGAUUUGGGCACUGUCUCAACAACAGACUCGGUGAAAUUGUAAUACCGGUGAAGAUGCCGGUUACCUGCGACAGGACGGAAAGACCCCAUGGAGCUUUACUGUAGCUUGACAUUGAGUCUCGGUGCUACAUGUACAGGAUAGGUGGGAGACUAUGAAGCAUGGACGUCAGUCUGUGUGGAGUCAUCCUUGGGAUACCACCCUUGUAGUACUGGGAUUCUAACCAGAGGCCAUGAAUCUGGUCUUGGGACACUGUCAGGUGGACAGUUUGACUGGGGCGGUCGCCUCCCAAAAAGUAACGGAGGCGCUCAAAGGUUCUCUCAGUACGGUCGGAAAUCGUACGAAGAGUGUAAAGGCAAAAGAGAGCUUGAUUGCAAGACAUACAGGUCGAGCAAGGACGAAAGUCGGACUUAGUGAUCCGGUGGUUCCGCAUGGAAGGGCCAUCGCUCAACGGAUAAAAGCUACCCUGGGGAUAACAGGCUUAUCUCCCCCAAGAGUCCACAUCGACGGGGAGGUUUGGCAC
rnacentral:rRNA from 1 species